ensembl:lncRNA
CUUUCAUGGAAAAGGAAAAUAAAAAGUGAUGAAUUAAUGAAUAAAAUAAACUUUAUACUCAAGUGAGUUUGUAAGCAUGCAGUUGGUCCUGCAGUGUUCAGAGAGAGCCAUAAAGACACGGGUAUUGCACUUGGACAACUGAGAGAGAAGCUGCCUGUGCUGUGACACCACUCAUAGAACCAUGCUGGAAUUUGAGACCACCAUCCUGAUUUUGAGUAUGACUUUGCUAUUGAUUUUUCAAAAUGUCUUCUGUCUCAUCUUGGCCCCCGAAGCAGCCAGUUUAGAAGCUUUGGUAGGUAUCUUUUUCUGUGUCUAUGAUAUUUUUUCAACUGUCUCUCUUUCCCUCCCUGCCGCUCUCCACCCCUCCCCCCAUGCCUCUUUUCCCUUCCCUCUCCUCUCAUGUAUUUAACUGUGCAACGUGUUUCAUACUUGGUUAUGAUGGCUUGACAUGGAUGUAUGGUAUUUCAAUUGCAUUGAAUGGAUAUAGAAAAGGUCAACCAUUCCCCCGAUGGAAUAUUAAUUUAUUUCACAUGUUCUUCCGCUACAGUUUUACAAGGUAUGUGCAUAGUGUUGUUUCUGUUAGAAUUCUAAAAUCUGGUUUGAUGCGUCAAAGGUAAUGCACAUGUUUAAUGUUAAUUCAUGCUGCCAGAUAUUUUUUUAAAAGUUUGUUACAAUUUACAUUCCCACUGUGCAUGACUGAAUUGCUUUCCAACACCAUCGCUGGUACUGGAAGCUAUCAUCUGUCUGUGUCUGUAUGCAAAUCUUUUGAGCAAUUCUGAUCUGCCUCCUAAAAGUAGGAUGCCAACUCCAUGCAUGUCUUUACAAGCAAAUUUAAAUCAGAAAGCCUGGAAGUUUGGGCCUUAAGAUUUGAUGCAUCUCACUUGCCAUAAUCCUCAACAUUUCAGGAUACAGUUACUAAAUUCAUAGGGCUGUUUUAAUUAGCUAUACCUAAUAGGAAGGAAUAAAUCUGAUUAAGCCUUAAUUACCCAUCUCAUUUUAACAGAAAAAAGUAGAUCCCAUUUAGUUUUUUAAAAAAUAACUUUAGAUUUAUUAAUUAUGUAUCUCCUUGGUUUACUGCUUAUAAUUAAUAGACUAGUUUUUCUCUGAUAUGUGCUAUCAAGAUAUUAAGCCAAUUGAGUUAAAAACAGAACCUUUCAGAUUUUUGACUUACAGAACCCCAUGAAAUCUAUAGAUUUUUAUUCUUUAUAAUGUUACACUGAAAAUGUAUUGUUAUCAGUCAAGUUACCAUUGUGAGUACUUGGAACCUAAUCUCACUGUGGAAAUCCAGGAGACGGAAUAAAACCUGUGCUUAAGAGUUAUCCUGCUGAGGGGCCACCCCGUAGCCAAGUGUUUAAGUUCACACGCUCUGCUACGGUGGCCCAGGGUUCAGAUCCCGGGUGCGGACAUGGCACAGCUCAUUCGGCCAUGUUGAGGUGGCAUCCCAUAUGCUACAAAUAAAAGGACCCACAACUAAAAUAUACAACUAUGUACUGGGGGGAUUUAGGCAGAUAAAAGCAGGAAAAAAAAAAAAAAAGAAGACUGGCAACAGUUGUUAGCUCAGGUGCCAAUCUUUAAAAAAAAAAAAUUAUCCUGCUAAAAGGGCAAGUGAUCUGGCAUAUGCAUAUCCUGUCUUCCUUCAGUUUUUGGUGAGGUCUGUGCCUGAAGAAUGGGUGUCAAUUCCACAGUAUUUUCAGUCUAUUGGAUGUGUAGCAAAGUGUCCUCAGAGAAAGCAGUCAGGACAGCAGUAGAAAGUUGGAUAGGUGUGCAACGAAGAUGUAGCAAGGUUGAUUAGACCUGGUCACUGAGAAUUAGUGAAUAUAUUAUAUGCUGUGUUUAGAAACAAGUAUGAAAAAGAGUGAGAUAUAUGAUCCACAAAAUCAGAAGCCUGUUAGCUCAGUAAUGUUUCUCUGCUUCCAAUGGACUGGGGUAUGUUGAGACAUCCCCUACAACAUUAAGGACAUGCUGCUAUUGGCAUUUGCCAUCACCAAGAAAGACUUUUCAUGCUUAGGAGGGUCUUUGCAUUUUACAUGUAGCUUGUAUAUUAUUUGGGCAUGAUAUUGGACCCCAAUAACCAAAUAAUCUGUGAGUCUGCUAGAUUUUUAGUGGGACUUGGAGAAAACAAGUCUAUUUUAACAAUUUCAAGCCUCACCAAGGCAGAUCUGGCCACUGCUUAGUCCUAACCUGUUAAUAUCAGAGAAUAUCACUGAAUUCCCAGAUUCUAAUAUUCUUCAGAG